UACGCACGCUGGCGGCGUGCCUAAUACAUGCAAGUAGAACGCUGAAGGAGGAGCUUGCUUCUCUGGAUGAGUUGCGAACGGGUGAGUAACGCGUAGGUAACCUGCCUGGUAGCGGGGGAUAACUAUUGGAAACGAUAGCUAAUACCGCAUAAUAUUGACUAUUGCAUGAUAGUCAGUUGAAAGGUGCAACUGCACCACUACCAGAUGGACCUGCGUUGUAUUAGCUAGUUGGUGGGGUAACGGCUCACCAAGGCGACGAUACAUAGCCGACCUGAGAGGGUGAUCGGCCACACUGGGACUGAGACACGGCCCAGACUCCUACGGGAGGCAGCAGUAGGGAAUCUUCGGCAAUGGACGGAAGUCUGACCGAGCAACGCCGCGUGAGUGAAGAAGGUUGUCGGAUCGUAAAGCUCUGUUGUAAGAGAAGAACGAGUGUGAGAGUGGAAAGCUCACAAUGUGACGGUAUCUUACCAGAAAGGGACGGCUAACUACGUG
rnacentral:rRNA from 1 species